rnacentral:rRNA from 1 species
CAUCCCGAUGCUAUUUCUAGAGGAUAGAAAGUUACUUCGGUACAUCGAUGACAGGUGGUGCAUGGUUGUCGUCAGCUCGUGUCGUGAGAUGUUGGUUAAGCCCCGCAACGAGCGCAACCCCUAUUGUUAGUUGCCAUCAUUCAGUUGGGCACUCUAGCGAGACUGCCGGUAAUAAACCGGAGGAAGGUGGGAUGACGUCAAAUCAUCAUGCCCCUUAUGACCUGGGCUACACACGUGCUACAAUGGUUGGUACAACGAGUCGCGAGUCGGUGACGGCGAGCUAAUCUCUUAAAGCCAAUCUCAGUUCGGAUUGUAGGCUGCAACUCGCCUACAUGAAGUCGGAAUCGCUAGUAAUCGCGGAUCAGCACGCCGCGGUGAAUACGUUCCCGGGCCUU